rnacentral:siRNA from 1 species
UGGACACGAUCGAUGAUGGU